GUCCCUUCGAUCAAACUCCGACGAAAACAAGUUCAGAAAAUCGUCACCGGAGUUAUGAAUUUUUACGGUUUAUGCUUCUACACAACAAGUCAUCCCCAUCUCCAACCUCCAAUCGACCAAAGUCAUGAUAUACCGAAAUUCAAUAGCUAAAGGACCUCACUGACCAUGACGAUGAGCAGAAUGAUCAGAAAACAACUUUCUGCACCAUUGAGUGGAUCAAUUUUACUUCAUCGAAAAUGUUCUUUUUAAGAGCACAAAUAGUACCUUUCUCUAACUUGGUUUUAGUCCAUUCAAGAUGGGCCUGAUCAUUGAAGAUGAGUCACUGAAAGGGCUGUAUUUAUAUUAUAAAUGCAUUCAAAAUCUAAAUGGACGAGCUGUUUGAAAGGAGUUCUUUCUGGGAAGAUGGUGAUGCGUUCGGUUGAGUAAUAUGUGAGUUUCUGUAGAUAUCACUUCUUCAUAUCUCAUAUCAAGUUGAAAGUAUGAGUCAUUUUAUUACUUUUUGAUUUUUGUAAUCGAGGCUGUUUUGUUCCCAACAGAUGUUAGGCUUUUUACCCACCUAUUCUUGUAAACAAGUGACAUUCAACUCGUAAUGCAUUCUGUAACAAGACAAUCAAUCAAAAGAUAUAGACAAACGAAUAAGAACCUGUAGUACUUCUGCUAUUGGAUCUUAGGGGCCGUUUACCAAACGCUUACCGUGUAAGUGCUA